ACCUAAAACGUUGCUUCGGCGGGAACAGACGGCCCCGUAACACGGGCCGCCCCCGCCAGAGGACCCCCUAACUCUGUUUCUAUUAUGUUUCUUCUGAGUAAAACAAGCAAAUAAAUUAAAACUUUCAACAACGGAUCUCUUGGCUCUGGCAUCGAUGAAGAACGCAGCGAAAUGCGAUAAGUAAUGUGAAUUGCAGAAUUCAGUGAAUCAUCGAAUCUUUGAACGCACAUUGCGCCCGCCAGUAUUCUGGCGGGCAUGCCUGUUCGAGCGUCAUUACAACCCUCAGGCCCCCGGGCCUGGCGUUGGGGAUCGGCGAGGCGCCCCCUGCGGGCACACGCCGUCCCCCAAAUACAGUGGCGGUCCCGCCGCAACUUCCAUUGCGUAGUAGCUAACACCUCGCAACUGGAGAGCGGCGCGGCCACGCCGUAAAACACCCAACUUCUGAAUGUUGACCUCGAAUCAGGUAGG
rnacentral:misc_RNA from 1 species